GCGAUUCCCGUGCUCAGCCUCUUGAGCAGCUGGGACUACAGGCGUGAACCACCGCACCCGGCCUGGGAAAGACCCAUUCUGAGUGAGACCUGUGAAGGGAGCGGAAAAUCACAGAACAAAGCGAGGAUGAAGGGAGAAGUGGACCCGAACAGGCGAGAUGGAGACAUGCCCCUUAGCAAAUGGGGAACGUUUCCUCUGAUGCUUUCAUGAGGCAGGACCACAGGUAAGGCCAUAAAUGAGUCAUGUAUAAUGUAAAUGUAUUAUUUCUGAAGGCUUUCUUAAAUAUAUAAUUCUCAGUCCAAAGUUUAGUUUCCCUCUUUAGAGUGUAGGGCAGUGGCCAGCCACUGGUGCCCCGGGUGCCACAGGUGAGAACCGCUGCGUCCUUCACAAGCGUGGCUUCGUUGCCGGCUGUCCAAGAGCACCGCUCAUGUCAGAAAGUGAGGCAGCUCUGGAGCGG
rnacentral:lncRNA from 10 species